rnacentral:rRNA from 1 species
GACGAACGCUGGCGGCGUGCUUAACACAUGCAAGUCGAACGGAGAGGCGAACGGGUGAGUAACACGCGGGUGAUCCGCCUUGCUCUUCGGGAUAAGCCUGGGAAACUGGGCUUAAUACCGGAUAGUGCAGGAUGAGCUCGCGGCCUAUCAGCUGGUUGGUGGGGUAAUGGCCUACCAAGGCGUCGACGGGUAGCCGGCCUGAGAGGGUGUACGGCCCCAUAGGGACUGGGGUACGGGCCAGACGCAUACGGGAGGAAGCGGUGGGGAAUAUUGCACACUGGGCGGAAGGCUUGAGCAGCGACGCCGCGUGGGGGAGGAAGGCCUUCGGGUUGUAAACUCCUUUCGGCGGGUACGCGGUACCUGUAUACGAAGCACCGGCUAACUACGUGCCAGCAGCCGCGGUAAUAC